rnacentral:rRNA from 1 species
CGAUGCGGCAGCCGUACACUGCAGUCGAGCGGUAGAGAGAAGCUUGCUUCUCUUGAGAGCGGCGGACGGGUGAGUAAUGCCUAGGAAUCUGCCUGGUAGUGGGGGAUAACGCUCGGAAACGGACGCUAAUACCGCAUACGUCCUACGGGAGAAAGCAGGGGACCUUCGGGCCUUGCGCUAUCAGAUGAGCCUAGGUCGGAUUAGCUAGUUGGUGAGGUAAUGGCUCACCAAGGCGACGAUCCGUAACUGGUCUGAGAGGAUGAUCAGUCACACUGGAACUGAGACACGGUCAAGGACUCUCUUACGGGAGGUCAGGCAGUGGGGAAUAUCGGACAAUGACCGAAAGGCCUGAUCCAGCCAUGCCGCGUGUUGUGAAGAAGGUCUUCGGAUUGUAAAGCACUUUAAGUUGGGAGGAAGGGGCAGUUACCUAAUACGUAUCUGUUUUGACGUUACCGACAGAAUAAGCACCGGCUAACUCUGUGCCAGCAGCCGCGGUAAUACAGAGGGUGCAAGCGUUAAUCGGAAUUACUGGGCGUAAAGCGCGCGUAGGUGGUUUGUUAAGUUGGAUGUGAAAUCCCCGGGCUCAACCUGGGAACUGCAUUCAAAACUGACAAGCUAGAGUAUGGUAGAGGGUGGUGGAAUUUCCUGUGUAGCGGUGAAAUGCGUAGAUAUAGGAAGGAACACCAGUGGCGAAGGCGACCACCUGGACUGAUACUGACACUGAGGUGCGAAAGCGUGGGGAGCAAACAGGAUUAGAUACCCUGGUAGUCCACGCCGUAAACGAUGUCAACUAGCCGUUGGGAGCCUUGAGCUCUUAGUGGCGCAGCUAACGCAUUAAGUUGACCGCCUGGGGAGUACGGCCGCAAGGUUAAAACUCAAAUGAAUUGACGGGGGCCCGCACAAGCGGUGGAGCAUGGUGGUUUAAUUCGAAGCAACGCGAAGAACCUUACCAGGCCUUGACAUCCAAUGAACUUUCCAGAGAUGGAUUGGUGCCUUCGGGAACAUUGAAACAGGUGCUGCAUGCCUGUCGUCAGCUCAUGUCGUGGAAAUGUUGGGUUAAGUUCCCGUAACGAGCGCAACCCUUGUCCUUAGUUACCAGCACGGUAAUGGUGGACACUCUAAGGAGACUGCCGGUGACAAACCGGAGGAAGGUGCGGAUGACCUCAAGUUCAUACAUGGCCCUUACGGCCUGGGCUACACACGUGCUACAAUGGUCGGUACAGAGGGUUGCCAAGCCGCGAGGUGGAGCUAAUCCCAGAAAACCGAUCGUAGUCCGGAUCGCAGUCUGCAACUCGACUGCGUGAAGUCGGAAUCGCUAGUAAUCGCGAAUCAGAAUGUCGCGGUGAAUACGUUCCCGGGCCUUGUACACACCGCCCGUCACACCAUGGGAGUGGGUUGCACCAGAAGUAGCUAGUCUAACCUUCGGGAGGACGACACACAAAUGUUUAUUGCUGG